rnacentral:rRNA from 1 species
AACGCGAAGAACCUUACCAACCCUUGACAUACUGGUCGCGGAUUCCAGAGAUGGAUUCCUUCAGUUCGGCUGGACCAGAUACAGGUGCUGCAUGGCUGUCGUCAGCUCGUGUCGUGAGAUGUUGGGUUAAGUCCCGCAACGAGCGCAACCCUCAUCUUCAGUUGCCAUCAUUAAGUUGGGCACUCUGGAGAAACUGCCGGUGACAAGCCGGAGGAAGGCGGGGAUGACGUCAAGUCCUCAUGGCCCUUAUGGGUUGGGCUACACACGUGCUACAAUGGCGGUGACAGUGGGCAGCAAUACCGCGAGGUGGAGCUAAUCCCCAAAAGCCGUCUCAGUUCGGAUUGUUCUCUGCAACUCGAGAGCAUGAGGGCGGAAUCGCUAGUAAUC